rnacentral:rRNA from 1 species
UACGAAGGGGGCUAGCGUUGUUCGGAAUUACUGGGCGUAAAGCGCACGUAGGCGGGUUGUUAAGUCAGGGGUGAAAUCCUGGAGCUCAACUCCAGAACUGCCUUUGAUACUGGCAACCUAGAGACUGGAAGAGGUUAGUGGAAUUCCCAGUGUAGAGGUGAAAUUCGUAGAUAUUCGCAAGAACACCAGUGGCGAAGGCGGCCGACUGGUCCGGUUCUGACGCUGAGGCGCGAAAGCGUGGGGAGCAAACAGG